UAAGGAAUAUUGGUCAAUGGGCGGGAGCCUGAACCAGCCAUGCCGCGUGCAGGAAGACGGCCUUAUGGGUUGUAAACUGCUUUUAUCGGGGAAUAAACCUGUCUACGAGUAGAUAGCUGAAGGUACCCGAAGAAUAAGCAUCGGCUAACUCCGUGCCAGCAGCCGCGGUAAUACGGAGGAUGCAAGCGUUAUCCGGAUUCAUUGGGUUUAAAGGGUGCGCAGGCGGAUUAAUAAGUCAGUGGUGAAAUUCUAGUGCUUAACAUUAGAGCUGCCAUUGAUACUGUUAGUCUCGAGUAUAGUUGGAGUGGGCGGAAUGUGUCAUGUAGCGGUGAAAUGCUUAGAUAUGACACAGAACACCGAUCGCGAAGGCAGCUCACUAAGCUAAAACUGACGCUCAUGCACGAAAGCGUGGGGAUCAAACA
rnacentral:rRNA from 1 species